rnacentral:rRNA from 1 species
UACGUAGGGUGCAAGCGUUGUCCGGAAUUAUUGGGCGUAAAGAGCUCGUAGGCGGUUUGUCGCGUCUGCUGUGAAAACUCGGGGCUUAACCCCGGGCCUGCAGUGGGUACGGGCAGACUAGAGUGCGGUAGGGGAGACUGGAAUUCCUGGUGUAGCGGUGAAAUGCGCAGAUAUCGAGAGGAACACCUGCGGCGAAGGCGGGUUGCUGGGCUGACACUGACGCUGAUGCGCGAAAGCUAGGGGAGCGAACGGG